GACGAACGCUGGCGGCGUGCUUAACACAUGCAAGUCGAACGGAAAGGCCCUGCUUUUGUGGGGUGCUCGAGUGGCGAACGGGUGAGUAACACGUGAGUAACCUGCCCUUGACUUUGGGAUAACUUCAGGAAACUGGGGCUAAUACCGGAUAGGAGCUCCUGCUGCAUGGUGGGGGUUGGAAAGUUUCGGCGGUUGGGGAUGGACUCGCGGCUUAUCAGCUUGUUGGUGGGGUAGUGGCUUACCAAGGCUUUGACGGGUAGCCGGCCUGAGAGGGUGACCGGCCACAUUGGGACUGAGAUACGGCCCAGACUCCUACGGGAGGCAGCAGUGGGGAAUAUUGCACAAUGGGCGGAAGCCUGAUGCAGCAACGCCGCGUGCGGGAUGACGGCCUUCGGGUUGUAAACCGCUUUCGCCUGUGACGAAGCGUAAGUGACGGUAAUGGGUAAAGAAGCUCCGGCUAACUACGUG
rnacentral:rRNA from 1 species